AUUGAACGCUGGCGGCAGGCCUAACACAUGCAAGUCGAGCGGAGCGGCGGACGGGCGAGUAAUGCCUAGGAAUCUGCCUGGUAGUGGGGGAUAACGUCCGGAAACGGGCGCUAAUACCGCAUACUCUCAGAUGAGCAUAGGUGGGAUUAGCUAGUUGGUGGGUUAAAGGCCAACUAAGGCGACGAACCGUAACUGGUCUGAGAGGAUGAUCAGUCACACUGGGACUUAGACACGAUCCAGACUCCUACGUGAGGAAGCAGUGGGGAAUAUUGGACAAUGGGCGAAAGCCUGAUGCAGCCAUGCCGCGUGUGUGAAGAAGGUCUUCGGAUUGUAAAGCACUUUAAGUUGGGAGGCGUUACCAACAGAAUAAGCACCGGCUAACUUCGUGCCAGCAGCCGCGGUAAUAC
rnacentral:rRNA from 1 species